rnacentral:lncRNA from 1 species
AGAAGUUGUUUCCAGUACUCAGACUGAAGAUUGUUCAUGACUUACCUUUGUUAUCCCCAGCAAGUGUCAUUGGCCCAUGCGCCGCCUCUAUUAUCUUUCCCUAUUUCUGCCGAUGCUGACAGGCAUGAAGUUUCCGGUAUUCAGACCGAAGUGGCAUUCAGGCCAAUUUCCGAUAUUCAGAUCGAAGUGGCGUUCAGGCCAGUUUCCGGUAUUCAGACCGAAGUGGCGUUCAAGCCAGUUUUCCGAUGUUCAGAUUGAAGAAGUUUCCGACGUUCAGGUCGAUGCAACUUAUGGCAUUCAGGUCAAUUUUCCGGUAUUCAGACCGAAGUGGCAUUCAGGCCAAUUUCCGAUAUUCAGAUCGAAGUGGCGUUCAGGCCAGUUUCUGGUAUUCAGAUCGAAGUGGCGUUCAGGCCAGUUUUCCGAUGUUCUGAUCGAAGAAGUUUCCGACGUUCAGGUCGAUGCAACUUAUGGCAUUCAGGUCAAUUUUCCGAUGUUCAGAUCGAAGAAGUUUCCGACGUUCAGGUCGAUGCAACUUGUGGCAUUCAGGCCAAUUUUCCGAUGUUCAUAUCGAAGAAGUUUCCGACGUUCAGGUCGACGCAACUUGUGGCAUUCAGGCCAACCUCUCGGUGUUCAGACCGAUAUUAAUAAUCUCAUAUCUCCCGAUGUUCAGAUCGAAGUCAUUUCCAGU